rnacentral:rRNA from 1 species
CCUACGGGAGGCAGCAGUGGGGAAUAUUGCACAAUGGGGGAAACCCUGAUGCAGCGACGCCGCGUGAGUGAAGAAGUAAUUCGUUACGUAAAGCUCUAUCAGCAGGGAAGAAAUACUGACCUUACGGUCAGCAGACGGUACCUGAGUAAGAAGCCCCUGCUUACUACGUGCCAGCAGCCGCGGUAAUACGUAGGGGGCAAGCGUUAUCCGGAUUUACUGGGUGUAAAGGGAGCGUAGACGGUGCGGCAAGUCUGGAGUGAAAUGCCGCAGCUUAACUGCGGAACUGCUUUGGAAACUGGCGAACUAGAGUGCGGGAGGGGUAAGCGGAAUUCCUAGUGUAGCGGUGAAAUGCGUAGAUAUUAGGAGGAACACCGGUGGCGAAGGCGGCUUACUGGACCGUAACUGACGUUGAGGCUCGAAAGCGUGGGGAGCAAACAGGAUUAGUUACCCUGGUAGUC